UGAACUCUGCAUUAGUUUCAAAGAAUACACGUUAUUUACAUUUAUAUGACUAAAAAUAUAUAUGAUCUUAAAACUAGUUCUCUCUACAACAUGUAACAUAAAUAAAAGUAAUUAUUUUAUGAAUACAUUAACAUUGUUCCAUGUGUAUGAAAGUUUAAUGCUUAUUUCCCUUCUCACAGACCCCAUAACUAGACCUAAAACGGCUGUCUCUAAUAAACCAGACUUAAAAAAAGAAAAUAUAAAUUAUGACAAAAUGAUUUUUCAUUCCAAUAAUAAACAACACUUCCAAAAAAGUUGCAGGAUGAUAUGAUAUAUACACAAUAAUCUUAAUGUACACAGAAUGCCGUUUAAAAGUGAGAAAUCAAAGAAAGGGAGCCUCAAAACACUCACAAUAAUUCAACAAUGUAUCUAUUAUACAAUGCCUGGUCGAAAUCUGUCUAGAGUAGCUUAAUUACAGGAAGUCAGGCAUGAAAGCUCUGGUUUCCGGUUUAUGCAGUAAUGGUACAAAUGUGAAAAAAGGCAGCAAUUAUUGAAGCAUAUUUAAAAAAAACUUCUAUCAUUUUCCUAAUAUAGGUAUAUUGAAUUCAGGAUUAUGAGUGGAAUCCUAUUAAACACUACUCUGGAUGUAAUCUAAGAUUCCUCAUAGCUAUAUCAGGAAAGGAUGCAGUUGACAUAUCAACCAAAGCUGACACACUCCCUCCUAGCUAUUGCCUUGGUCUGGGAAAUCGUAGAGUCUUCCAUCUCAUGGCUAAAGAGAAGUUUCUUGAAGACGGGCUCCAGCACGAGUCCAAAAGCUCAGAAGAUUAAAAAUCUCUGAUCCCGGUGACUGACCCAGAUUGGAUCCUACAACAUUAUCCUGGCACAAGUAUAUUCGCCUUCUUCAUUUCUGUUCCUUCUGAGAAAGUUCUAAUCAAACCAAGAAUCAAACUCUGAAUCAAGUUAACUAUCACUGGAAGUUAAAUACUAGUUUAUAAAUUGUCCAUUUCCAAUGUAACCAUUAUAGUCUUCUGUGGAAUAAGUAUAAUGAUAAUCCUCUUUAAAGACAAAUGUAUGCCGUCUUCCUUCAUGUAUUAUGUUUAUUUGUUACAGCACCUGGGAUGCUAACAAAGAACGUAAAGAACUCCCUGGCUAAAAGUUACAAGCCAAAUUAAAUAAGACUACAGAAUACAAAUGGUGGAAUAUCCCUUUUCAGGCAACUUGACAGCAAUCUUGAGUGUUAUAAACUGAAAUCCAUCUACUUUAACUAUACAAAUGGAAUGGCAAAAUACCUCCUGACUCUGCUAGUCUAGAUCUCUAGAUGAGAUCUAGACUAGCUCAAAUGCAAGAAUAUAUACUGGCAAAACCCCAUUCAUAACAACAUUGUUUUAAACUAGUUUCCCAUAUGUAAUUGAUUAUAAAACAUAACAUCCUAAUAAAUGUUAAUAACAUUA